rnacentral:lncRNA from 1 species
CAGGUGAAAAUCCGUAAACCAAAUAAAAAUCAAGUCAAAUUACUGAUUUGGACCAAACUGGUUCGAAUCGAACCGGAAUAGUGUAGAAACUCAGAUUUUCUUUCUCUUUUUUUUUUUUUUCUUUUUCUUUUCUUUCUUCUUCUUCCUUCCCUCUGGAACACGGACCCCAGUAGCUCCCCCUCCCCUUGGUCUCGUUUUUCCGACCACCAGAACCAGCACCUCCUUGCCGCGCCGCCGCCUCACCGCAGCUCCAGCCUCUCUUCCUGUUUCUCUCUUUUCAUCUUUGGCGAGCGCAACUAUCGCAGGGAACCUGCGAUUUCGUCCGAUCAAAAAAUCGCGUCGCAGCUCACUCGAUUUUCUAGCGAUCAGCGAUGAAGCUCCGGUCUCUUCCUUUCUCGCAUUCUCUCCUCUGUUUCCGGUUGGCGCAGCAAAACGAGGAGCUACGAUCGCUAUUUCCUGCUUUUGGACAGUCGACUCGUCGUUUCUCUGCUCCUCCAGCGAAACCAGCCAAGGAUCGGCCGGUUGAGCUCUUCCAUUCCCUCUAGCGACCUCACCGGCCACGAUCCUCUCCAGCUCUGGCCAAGCUAAUGACGGCAGAAUCAGAUCUUGGGUAGUAGAGCAAAUUUCGGUCAUUUUAACCGAAAAUUUCCAAUUUCCAGCUCGUUUUACAGCUAGGUAAGCUCAUCUCUAACUUUCUUUUUGCAUAUUUUGUGAUUCUUUGUGCUAGGAUGUGGAAUUUCAUGUAUUAGUCAAGCUAGAGUAAGGAUUAAAUCCCUAUAUAUUCUAUUUAUGCAAAUUUUAGGAAAAGGUUUGAUUUUAUUUACUAACUAUAAUUAAAACACAUUCUAGUGCGUUUUUUGAAGUGAGUCAUGUAGCUUUAGAUUAGAAUUGAGUAUUGAAUUUAAAGUGGCAGCCUCUAGCUAAAGAAGAUUAUAGUUUUUGUUGAGUUAAGUCCAUAUUUGGUGGUAGAACUAUGUCUUUCGUAAAUUGUUGUUAAUGUGAAGGUUUAAUGAUCGAGAUAGAACAAAAAUGAGAAUUUUCUUGAAAUGGCAGCAACUAUUUUUAAUUAUUCCUAUAAAGUAUUGCUGGAUAUAGUAUAUAUGGGGCUGUAAGUUUAAUUUUUUUGCAAGGGAUUUGUUAAUUGGUGGGUAAUCUAUGAUUUCAGCAUAGAAGAACUCUGAAUUUUUGUAUAUUGGCAGCAACUACCUUGAGAUCUUGUGUUGUUUUAGAAGGACAAAUAUAUAUAACGAGUGUACUUUUAAGAUUUUCUUACUAUUUUGAUGUGUAAAAAUUUUUAAUUAUAAUUGAUACACGGUUAAAAUGAGUUAGUACAUAUAAUUUUGUUUGAUGAGGAUAAUGAUUUACAGAUCAAUAAGCUGAAUCAUGAGACCCCACUUAAUUAUGAAAAGGAAUACAUAAGUUAUAGAUAUAUAUGAUUGUUAAUAGUAUACAACUGGAUAGUUUUAACUAGUAGAAUUGAUGUUAAGCAAAUAGCUAUUUUCACUAAUUUGCUUAUUUAUUUUUUUUCUUAACAGUAUAUAGUAAGUUAAAGUUUGGCAUUGACGAUUAAAUAUUAAUGUGAUUGCUUUGGAUGGAGGAAGGGAAAUAAAUUUGUUUGAUUGCCCGUCGAAUGGGCUGUGUGUAUUGAUUGAUAAAUAUAUGAUAAAUUUUUUAUAUUUUAACGGGUGGAUAGUCCAAAUUUUAGGGGAGAUGUUGCCGAAAUUUCGAUAGAACUUAGACUAGUUUUAAUUAANN